rnacentral:rRNA from 1 species
GACGUAGGGCGCGAGCGUUGUCCGGAUUUAUUGGGCGUAAAGAGCUCGUAGGCGGCUUGUCGCGUCGUCCGUGAAAACCUGGGGCUCAACCCCAGGCUUGCGGUCGAUACGGGCAGGCUAGAGUUCGGUAGGGGAGACUGGAAUUCCUGGUGUAGCGGUGAAAUGCGCAGAUAUCAGGAAGAACACCGGUGGCGAAGGCGGCUCUCUGGGCCUUACCUGACGCUGAGGAGCGAAAGCGUGGGUAGCGAACAGG